rnacentral:tRNA from 1 species
AGGGAUGUAGCUCAGUUGGUAGGGUGCUUGCCUAGCAUGCAUGACGUCUGGGUUCAAUCCCCUGCGCUA